AGAACGUAAUGAACUGGACAAGAGCUACCUGCAGUCGAUAAUAGAUGAGACGUGUGAUCAGUUAACCUCCACUCAUGAGAGCAGAGAGUGGCCCAGUCAUACUGAUGUACUGAGAGCGUUUGCUGUGUUUGAUCAGGAGGGGCAUGGGAGUAUACCAGUACAACAGCUGAAGAGGUUUCUGUUACAAGCACAGCUGGGGUUUCAAGAAGAAGAGCUGGAGAAACUUAUCAGAGACACUUGUAAGAUUGAUAAUGAUAACCAGAUCAGUUACAAAGUGGUGAAGAGUUCACUGAGUGUUGGCUGACAGUGUUGGGUUCUAUUGCUAGUGAUCCUGACAGUUGUCAUAAAGUUGUAUUUAUUAGAGUUGGACUCCAUGGCAUGAAUUCUCAAGUUGAUAAAGGGUUUUUGAUAAAUUGUGGUCAAUAGACAGAUCAUCAGCAUUGAUGCUGUCACUGCUAACAAAAAAGAAAUCACUCAUAAAUGCAUGAAAAGUUGCCUUUUUGAUGAAUGUGAAGACAUGAUCAACAACACAGUCCUUGAGCUAAUACUAUACAAUGGAGACAUAGGGGCAGCAGCCCACCCACGAAAGAGAGGGAUCAGCUAGAAGAUGCCAUUUGUUCCAUUGCUUUCUUGUAUGGUUUAGUGUCAAGAGGACAAGUUGUUUGAAAUUUUGUGUUUUCAUUCUCCCAACCAACAUAAUUAAAAGGGUUAUUCACUACAGUUAAUAAAAAUUAUUCAAUGGUACUACUACUAAUGUGUUUUAAUUGUACUACACCAUAUAUGCAUGUUUGGUUAGUGAGUAUAGUAUAUAUAAUAUUAGUUUAUAGUCUAAUAUUCUGUUACUUUUUUAUUUUUGAUUCAUCUUUUUUCUUUCGUGGAACUCCUUUUCUUCUGAA